rnacentral:rRNA from 2 species
GACAGAGGGUGCAAACGUUGUUCGGAAUUACUGGGCGUAAAGCGCGUGUAGGCGGCAAGGCAAGUCGGAUGUGAAAGCCCACGGCUCAACCGUGGAAGUGCACCCGAAACUGCCUCGCUAGAGUCUCGGAGAGGAAGGUGGAAUGCUUGGUGUAGAGGUGAAAUUCGUAGAUAUCAAGCGGAACACCGGUGGCGAAGGCGGCCUUCUGGACGAUGACUGACGCUGAGACGCGAAAGCGUGGGGAGCAAACAGG